GGAAAGGGCUGUAUUUCAGUGGUGGAGCACAUGAUUUGCAUUCAAAAUGUCCCAGGUCCAAUCCCUGGCCUCUCCA